rnacentral:tRNA from 3 species
GGUAGCGUGGCCGAGCGGUCUAAGGCGCUGGUUUAAGGCACCAGUCUCGUAAGAGGCGUGGGUUCGAAUCCCACCGCUGCCA